GACGAACGCUGGCGGCGGGCUUAACACAUGCAAGUCGAACGGAAAGGCCCUGGUGUUUUGGGGUGCUCUGGUGGCGAACGGGUGAGUAACAAGUGAGUAACCUGCCCUUGACUGUGGGAUGACUUCAGGAAACUAGGGCUAAUACCGGAUAAGAGCUCCUGCUGCAUGGUGGGGGGUGGAAUGUUGCGGCGGUUGGGGAUGGGCUCGCGGCUGAUCAGCUUGUUGGUGGGGGAGUAGCGUACCAAGGCUUGGACGGGCAGCCGGCAUGAGAGGGUGAGCGGCCACCUUGGUACUGCGAUACGGACCAGAGUCCUAUGGGAGGCAGCAGGGGGGAAUCUUGUACAAUCGGGCGACGCCUGAUGCAGAAACGCCGCGUGCGUGAUGACGGCCCUGGGGUUGUAAAGCGCUUUCGCCUGUGACGUAGAGCGAGUGACGGUAAUCGCUAAAGAAGCACCGGCUAACUACGUG
rnacentral:rRNA from 1 species